AAUUUCUCUGCGGAGGUGCCCUCGUAUCCACCAGCCAUGUUAUCACGGCAGCUCAUUGCAUCAAAACCACCGGGACGUGGCAACUAAACCUGGUCCGAGUUGGAGAUUUGCAUUUAGAUCCGAAGGUCUAUGAUGGCGCAAGCCCAGUGGAUAUCGUCAUUGCGGAAAA